AUUGUUUUGUGGCUUAUAAAUGUGAUGGUUGGGUUUUCAUGUUCAUGUAUAAGAUACACUUCCCUCCAACCUUGUUACAACGUCUGCACAUUACUAUCUGGCA